UAAUACGAAGGGGGCUAGCGUUGCUCGGAAUUACUGGGCGUAAAGCGCACGUAGGCGGCUUCUUAAGUCGGUGGUGAAAUCCUGGAGCUCAACUCCAGAACUGCCUUCGAUACUGGGAAGCUCGAGUUCGGGAGAGGUGAGUGGAACUGCGAGUGUAGAGGUGAAAUUCGUAGAUAUUCGCAAGAACACCAGUGGCGAAGGCGGCUCACUGGCCCGAUACUGACGCUGAGGUGCGAAAGCGUGGGGAGCAAACAGG
rnacentral:rRNA from 1 species